ensembl:snRNA U6 U6 spliceosomal RNA
GUGCACACUUUGACAGCACAUAGACCAAAGUUGAAGCAACACAGAGAAGGUUAGCAUGGCCCAUGUGCAAGGAUGAUAUGCAAAUUUGCGAAGUAUUCCAUAUUUAA